UACGAAGGGGGCUAGCGUUAAUCGGAAUUACUGGGCGUAAAGCGUGCGCAGGCGGUUUUGUAAGUCUGUCGUGAAAUCCCCGGGCUCAACCUGGGACCUGCAUUUGUGACUGCAUCGCUAGAGUACGGCAGAGGGGGAUGGAAUUCCGCGUGUAGCAGUGAAAUGCGUAGAUAUGCGGAGGAACACCGAUGGCGAAGGCAGCGUCCUGGCCGCUUGCUGACACUGAGGCACGAAAGCUGGGGGAGCAAACAGG
rnacentral:rRNA from 1 species